rnacentral:rRNA from 1 species
GAACGCUGGCGGCGUGCCUACACAUGCAAGUCGAACGAGAAAGUGGAGCAAUCCAUGAGCACAGUGGCGACCGGGUGAGUAACACGUGACUAACCUACCCUCGAGUGGGGAAUAACUCCGGGAAACCGGAGCUAAUACCGCAUAACAUCGCAAGAUCAAAGCCGAAAGGCGCUCGAGGAGGGGGUCGCGGCUGAUUAGCUAGUUGGUAGGGUAACGGCCUACCAAGGCGAAGAUCGGUAUCCGGCCUGAGAGGGCGCACGGACACACUGGAACUGAAACACGGUCCAGACUCCUACGGGAGGCAGCAGUGGGGAAUUUUGCGCAAUGGGGGAAACCCUGACGCAGCAACGCCGCGUGGAGGAUGAAGUCCCUUGGGAUGUAAACUCCUUUCGACCGGGAAGAUACUGACGGUACCGGAAGAAGAAGCACCGGCUAACUCUGUGCCAGCAGCCGCGGUAAUACAGAGGGUGCGAGCGUUGUUCGGAAUUAUUGGGCGUAAAGGGCGCGUAGGCGGUGCGGUAAGUCACCUGUGAAAUCUCCUGGCUCAACUGGGAGUCUGCAGGCGAAACUGCCGUGCUGGAGUGUGGGAGAGGUGAGUGGAACUCCCGGUGUAGCGGUGAAAUGCGUAGAUAUCGGGAGGAACACCUGUGGCGAAAGCGGCUCACUGGACCACAACUGACGCUGAGGCGCGAAAGCUAGGGGAGCAAACAGGAUUAGAUACCCUGGUAGUCCUAGCCCUAAACUAUGGAUGCUUGGUGUGAUGGGUACCCAAUCCCAUCGUGCCGAAGCUAACGCGAUAAGCAUCCCGCCUGGGGAGUACGGUCGCAAG